GGUGAACGCUGGCGGCGUGCUUAAGACAUGCAAGUCGAACGCAGUCUUCGGACUGAGUGGCGCACGGGUGAGUAACACGUAACUGACCUACCCCCAAGUCGCGAAUAACCAGCCGAAAGGAUGGCUAAUACGUGAUGUGAUGAUCCGCUGUGGCGGAUCAUUAAAGACUUGAUCGCUUGGGGAUGGGGUUGCGUUCCAUCAGCUAGUUGGUAAGGUAAAGGCUUACCAAGGCAACGACGGAUAGCCGGCCUGAGAGGGUGGCCGGCCACAGGGGCACUGAGACACGGGUCCCACUCCUACGGGAGGCAGCAGUUAGGAAUCUUCCACAAUGGGCGCAAGCCUGAUGGAGCGACGCCGCGUGAGGGAUGAAGGUUCUCGGAUCGUAAACCUCUGAACCAACGACGAAAGACCCGACAAGGGAGAUGACGGUAGUUGGGUAAUAGCACCGGCUAACUCCGUGCCAGCAGCCGCGGUAACAC
rnacentral:rRNA from 1 species